CUACUUUUCCGCUGAAGCACCCAGUGGUAAUCAAAUCGCCGGAUUUCUAGGAACCUCCGGCAAUGCUCUCAACUCCCUAGACGUUCACUUUGCUCCCAUUCCUCCCGCUGGUAGCAUCGGACCAAAACCUGAUGAACCCGAAACCAAACCUCCCGGCCAAGAAGAUUCAAAAGGUGAUGGCUCCGGAAUCAAACCUCCCGGCCAAGAAGAUUCAAAAGGUGAUGGUUUCGAAACCAAACCUCCAGGCCAAGAGGAUUCAAAAGGUGAUGGCUCCGGAACCAAACCUCCUGGCAAAGAAGAUUCAAAAGGUGAUGGCUCCGGAACCAAACCUCCUGGCAAAGAGGAUUCAAAAGGUGAUGGCUCCGGACCAAACCUCCCGGCAAAGAAGAUUCAAAAGGUGAUGGCUCUGGAGCCAAACCUCCUGGCCAAGAAGAUUCAAAAGGUGAUGGCCCCGGAAAGACUGGGCUGAUCGGUGGUAACAGUGGAGACGCAUUUGAUGAUGGUCGUUUUGGUGGUGUGAAGAAAAUAACUGUUGGAGCAGAUGAAUACAGUGUGACUUACAUCAAGAUUGAGUACGUAAAGGACGGAAAAGUUCAAACCCUUGAACACGGGACUAUUCGCGGGGAACUACAAGAGGUCAGAAUGAAUUAAUUUUUUUUUUUUUGUGAAUUUUGUUAAUACUCAAAUGGUUUGGUACUAAUUCAUGUGUUUCUAAUGGGAAAUCAAAUACAGUUUUCGGUGGAUUAUCCAAAGGAACAUAUCACAGCUGUUGGUGGAAGCUACGAUCAUAUUUUUACCUACGAUACAACGCUUAUCACAUCGCUAUACUUCACAACCUCCAAUGGAAUUACCUCUCCAUUAUUUGGUAAGCAGAGUGGAAAAGACUUCAAUCUCAAAGGUGAAAAUGGAGGAAAGCUUGUUGGAUUCCAUGGCCGUGGUGGAGCUGCUAUAAAUGCCAUUGGAGCUUACUUUGACACCAGUUCGAAAGGAGGUGACGAUACAAAACCUGUUGACACUGACACCAAACCCGGCAAAGACGAUUCAAAACCUGAUGCCUCGGGAAAGACGGGACUGCUUGGUGGUAAAGGUGGAAACGCAUUUGACGAUGGUCGUUUUGAUGGUGUAAAGAAAAUAACUGUGGGAGCGGAUGAUUUAAGUGUGACCUAUAUCAAGAUAGAAUACAUUAAAGAUGGAAAGGUCGAAAUCCGUGAACAUGGGACGAAUCGCGGGGAA
rnacentral:lncRNA from 1 species